UUCCGGUUGAUCCUGCCGGACCUGACUGCUAUCGGAUUGAUACUAAGCCAUGCGAGUCAUUGUAGCAAUACAAGGCAGACGGCUCAGUAACGCGUAGUCAACCUAACCUAUGGACGGGAAUAACCUCGGGAAACUGAGAAUAAUGCCCGAUAGAACAUUAUACCUGGAAUGGUUUAUGUUCCAAAUGAUUUAUCGCCGUAGGAUGGGACUGCGGCCUAUCAGUUUGUUGGUGAGGUAAUGGCCCACCAAGACUAUUACAGGUACGGGCUCUGAGAGGAGUAGCCCGGAGAUGGGUACUGAGACACGGACCCAGGCCCUAUGGGGCGCAGCAGGCGAGAAAACUUUGCAAUGUGCGAAAGCACGACAAGGUUAAUCCGAGUGGUUUCUGCUAAAGGAACCUUUUGUUAGUCCUAGAAACACUAACGAAUAAGGGGUGGGCAAGUUCUGGUGUCAGCCGCCGCGGUAAAACCAGCACCUCAAGUGGUCAGGAUGAUUAUUGGGCCUAAAGCAUCCGUAGCCGGCUCUGUAAGUUUUCGGUUAAAUCUGUACGCUCAACGUACAGGCUGCCGGGAAUACUGCAGAGCUAGGGAGUGGGAGAGGUAGACGGUACUCGGUAGGAAGGGGUAAAAUCCUUUGAUCUAUUGAUGACCACCUGUGGCGAAGGCGGUCUACCAGAACACGUCCGACGGUGAGGGAUGAAAGCUGGGGGAGCAAACCGGAUUAGAUACCCGGGUAGUCCCAGCUGUAAACUAUGCAAACUCAGUGAUGCAUUGACUUGUGGUCAAUGCAGUGCUGCAGGGAAGCCGUUAAGUUUGCCGCCUGGGAAGUACGUACGCAAGUAUGAAACUUAAAGGAAUUGGCGGGGGAGCACCACAAGGGGUGAAGCCUGCGGUUCAAUUGGAGUCAACGCCGGG
rnacentral:rRNA from 1 species